rnacentral:rRNA from 1 species
GAUGAACGCUGGCGGCGUGCCUAACACAUGCAAGUCGAGCGAACAGACCAGGACUUUGCUCCCCUGACGUUAGCGGCGGACGGGAGAGUCACAUGUGGAUAACCUACCUAUAAGACUGGGAUAACUUCGGGAAACCGGAGCUUAAUCCGGAUAAUAUAUGGAACCGUAUGGUUCAAUAGUGAAAGACGGUUUUGCUGUCAGUUAUAGCUGGCUCCGCGCCGCAUGAGCUAGUUGGUAAGGAACCGGCUUACCAAGGCAACGAUGCGUAGCCGACCUGAGAGAGUGAUCGGCCACACUGGAAGUGAGACACGCACCAGACUCCUGCGAGAGGCAGCAGUAGAGAAUCUUACGCAAUGGGGGAGAGCUUGACGGAGCAACGCAGCGUGAGUGAUGAAGGUCCUCGGAGCGUUAAACUCUGUUAUUAGGGAAGAACAAAUGUUUAAGUAACUAUGCACGUCUUGACGGUACCUAAACAGAAAGCCACGGCUAACUACGUG